rnacentral:rRNA from 1 species
UUUUCCGUUUGGGGGCCUGCGGAAGGAUCAUUA